CUCAUAGAGUUCCCUCUCCGGAGGGUUCUCCUACACCCCCGCGAACGCGUCCCCAGAAACGUUGCCUCGGCGGGCGGCUCCAGGGAGGAGCCCCCCGGCCGGUCGCCCUUCGGGGGCGCCGGCGCCCGCCGGACGACCACAACAACUCUGCCUCUAGCCGUCUCUCUGAGUCAGUUGCAAAACUAUCA
rnacentral:misc_RNA from 1 species